rnacentral:rRNA from 1 species
CUCUGGGUCCAACCUCCCACCCGUGUUUAUCGUACCUUGUUGCUUCGGCGGGCCCGCCUCACGGCCGCCGGGGGGCAUCCGCCCCCGGGCCCGCGCCCGCCGAAGACACACAAACGAACUCUUGUCUGAAGAUUGCAGUCUGAGUACUUGACUAAAUCAGUUAAAACUUUCAACAACGGAUCUCUUGGUUCCGGCAUCGAUGAAGAACGCAGCGAAAUGCGAUAAGUAAUGUGAAUUGCAGAAUUCAGUGAAUCAUCGAGUCUUUGAACGCACAUUGCGCCCCCUGGUAUUCCGGGGGGCAUGCCUGUCCGAGCGUCAUUGCUGCCCUCAAGCACGGCUUGUGUGUUGGGCUCUCGCCCCCCGCUUCCGGGGGGCGGGCCCGAAAGGCAGCGGCGGCACCGCGUCCGGUCCUCGAGCGUAUGGGGCUUCGUCACCCGCUCUGUAGGCCCGGCCGGCGCCCGCCGGCGAACACCAUCAAUCUUAACCAGGUUGACCUCGGAUCAGGUAGGGAUACCCGCUGAACUUAAGCAUAU